AAUAAAGUUUUAAUGGUGUGGUUAGCUAGAUUAUUUUACUCUAAUAAGUAACUUAAUUGUUGAGUAAACUUGAAUGCUUAAAAAAACUAGAUUAAGUUUUUAAUUCUACUUAAUCAUCAACUGCUUUUAACGCAAAAAAAUCUAUUUGGAUUUGAAAAAAGGGAACAACAUUCUCAGACUUUUUCUUCUUUAACUCUAAAAAUUAAAAAUGAUAUCAGUGGUUUUUAUAAAGGAAUUACUAUAGUUAAAAAAGGCUGAAAGGAAAAAAUAUAAUGAUUUGUUUCAAGAAAGGGAGUGACUUACUUCAAAAUGUCAUUUUAAAAUUUUUAUUCUUUAAUGAUAUUCUGGUGUUAUUACCAAAUGUUUAGCAGUAUGAAACCUAUAAUAUUAUAUACCAUACUAUAUACCCUAUUUUACUUAUAAAGUUAAUAAUCUGUAAAGUAAUAUGUAAAAAUUUUUUAAUUGUAAAAUUGCUACAUGAGAAGACAAGUUGUUAGAUGAAAUUCAAAUAUUCUCUAUGUUUGUGUUGUGUAGGUCAAAAAAUAAUAAACAAAGAUGAUAUUGAUUGUGAUGACCAAGAGAUUCAUUUUAAGACACAUCAAUCUUCAUCAUCUUUAAAUAAAAAGGAUAAACAUUAUGGAUUUCCAUUAUCUCAAGCAAAAACCAAGAGUUCAAAAUAUUAGUGGUAAGAACUGUCAAAAACUUGUGAUAGCUAUGAUGAAGAGAUUUGUGACAAAUUCGCUCAUGGCCAAAUCUAAUAUGGCAGCUGGAAAAGGCAAAGGAUCUUUUUAGCCUAACUAAGCUAUACAGUUUAAUAAAAGUUUGUGCAUCGACUUCUCACGAAUCAUACACAGAGUCGAUUGACGAUGCAAUAAUUGCUGAUUCGUGAAAACGGGCAACUUUUGCUUGUCUUAAAGUGCCUUAAAUCCAUCGUUAUAAUAUUACUUUGUUUGUAAAUUGUUUUGAAAAAUAAAUUUAAAAA